rnacentral:rRNA from 1 species
UAGCUAGUUGGUGGGGUAAGGGCCUACCAAGGCGACGAUCGGUAGCUGGUCUGAGAGGAUGGCCAGCCACACUGGAACUGAGACACGGUCCAGACUCCUACGGGAGGCAGCAGUGGGGAAUAUUGGACAAUGGGGGCAACCCUGAUCCAGCAAUGCCGCGUGUGUGAAGAAGGCCUGAGGGUUGUAAAGCACUUUCAGUGGGGAGGAGAGUUGAUUGGUUAAGAGCUGGUUAAUUGGACGUUACCCACAGAAGAAGCACCGGCUAACUCCGUGCCAGCAGCCGCGGUAAUACGGAGGGUGCGAGCGUUAAUCGGAAUUACUGGGCGUAAAGGGUGCGUAGGUGGUCUGAUAAGUUAUCUGUGAAAUCCCUGGGCUCAACCUGGGCAGGUCAGAUAAAACUGUUGGACUCGAGUAUGGGAGAGGGUAGUGGAAUUUCCGGUGUAGCGGUGAAAUGCGUAGAGAUCGGAAGGAACACCAGUGGCGAAGGCGGCUACCUGGCCCAAUACUGACACUGAGGCACGAAAGCGUGGGGAGCAAACAGGAUUAGAUACCCUGGUAGUCCACGCUGUAAACGAUGUCAACUAGCUGUUGGUUAUAUGAAUAUAAUUAGUGGCGC